CCUANGGGUGGCAGCAGUCGAGAAUUUUUCUCAAUGGGGGAAACCCUGAAGGAGCGACGCCGCGUGGAGGAUGAAGGCUUUCGGGUUGUAAACUCCUGUCAUUUGGGAACAAGUUGUACGUAUUAACUGUACGUGCAUUGAUAGUACCAGAAGAGGAAGGGACGGCUAACUCUGUGCCAGCAGCCGCGGUAAUACAGAGGUCCCAAGCGUUGUUCGGAUUCAUUGGGCGUAAAGGGUGCGUAGGUGGCGCCGUAAGUCGGGUGUGAAAUUUCGGAGCUUAACUCCGAAACUGCAUUCGAUACUGCGGUGCUUGAGGACUGGAGAGGAGACUGGAAUUUAUGGUGUAGCAGUGAAAUGCGUAGAGAUCAUAAGGAAGACCAGUGGCGAAGGCGGGUCUCUGGACAGUUCCUGACACUGAGGCACGAAGGCCAGGGGAGCAAACGGGAUUAGAUACCCCUNUANUC
rnacentral:rRNA from 1 species